UACGUAGGUGGCAAGCGUUGUCCGGAAUUAUUGGGCGUAAAGGGAGCGCAGGCGGUUCGUUCAGUCUGAUGUGAAAGCCCACGGCUUAACCGUGGAAUGGCAUUGGAGACUAACGAACUUGAAUUCAGAAGAGGAAAGCGGAAUUCCAUGUGUAGUGGUGAAAUACGUAGAGAUAUGGAAGAACACCAGUGGCGAAGGCGGCUUUCUGGACUGUAACUGACACUGAGGCACGAAAGCGUGGGUAGCAAACAGG
rnacentral:rRNA from 1 species